UACGUAGGGCGCAAGCGUUGUCCGGAAUUAUUGGGCGUAAAGAGCUCGUAGGCGGUUUGUCGCGUCUGUCGUGAAAGCUUGGGGCUUAACCCCAAGUCUGCGGUGGAUACGGGCAGACUAGAGGCAGGUAGGGGAGAACGGAAUUCCCGGUGUAGCGGUGAAAUGCGCAGAUAUCAGGAGGAACACCGGUGGCGAAGGCGGAUCUCUGGGCCGAUACUGACGCUGAGGAGCGAAAGCGUGGGGAGCGAACAGG
rnacentral:rRNA from 1 species